rnacentral:rRNA from 1 species
CAGCCGCCGCGGUAAUACGAAGGGUGCAAGCGUUAAUCGGAAUUACUGGGCGUAAAGCGUGCGUAGGCGGUUUGUUAAGUCUGUUGUGAAAUCCCCGGGCUCAACCUGGGAAUGGCAAUGGAUACUGGCAAGCUAGAGUGUGUCAGAGGAUGGUGGAAUUCCCGGUGUAGCGGUGAAAUGCGUAGAGAUCGGGAGGAACAUCAGUGGCGAAGGCGGCCAUCUGGGACAACACUGGCGCUGAGGCACGAAAGCGUGUGGAGCAAACAGGAUUAGAUACCCGCGUAGUCCCUGUCUCUUAUAC